GACGAACGCUGGCGGCGUGCCUAAUACAUGCAAGUCGAACGAACUCUGGUAUUGAUUGGUGCUUGCAUCAUGAUUUACAUUUGAGUGAGUGGCGAACUGGUGAGUAACACGUGGGAAACCUGCCCAGAAGCGGGGGAUAACACCUGGAAACAGAUGCUAAUACCGCAUAACAACUUGGACCGCAUGGUCCGAGCUUGAAAGAUGGCUUCGGCUAUCACUUUUGGAUGGUCCCGCGGCGUAUUAGCUAGAUGGUGGGGUAACGGCUCACCAUGGCAAUGAUACGUAGCCGACCUGAGAGGGUAAUCGGCCACAUUGGGACUGAGACACGGCCCAAACUCCUACGGGAGGCAGCAGUAGGGAAUCUUCCACAAUGGACGAAAGUCUGAUGGAGCAACGCCGCGUGAGUGAAGAAGGGUUUCGGCUCGUAAAACUCUGUUGUUAAAGAAGAACAUAUCUGAGAGUAACUGUUCAGGUAUUGACGGUAUUUAACCAGAAAGCCACGGCUAACUACGUGCCAGCAGCCGCCGCCG
rnacentral:rRNA from 1 species